UUGCAAUGAUGACAGAAUUUCUUCACCUGAAACACAGUGAUGAUUUAUAGCUUUUUAACCCUGAGCAUU